rnacentral:rRNA from 1 species
GGGUCAGUAGGUUGGUCGUGCCACCGGUACGUACUGGUCUCACUGAUUCCUCCUUCCUGAAUAACCGUAAUGCCAUUAAUUUGGUGUUGCGGGGAAACAGGACUGUUACUUUGAACAAAUUAGAGUGUUUAAAGCAAGCUAACGCUUGAAUACAUUAGCAUGGAAUAAUGAAAUAGGACGAUCGAUCCUAUUUUGUUGGUUUCUAGGAUUGACGUA